GCACAGCGAGCGGAGGGUCAGGAACCAGGUCCCCGUCUGCGGGAAGGGAAUCCGCAGCCUGGCCGCCCUGGAGGUGGCACUGACCGAAAGGAGGAAGCCGGCGAGGGACUCUGAGGGGAGAAGGCAGAAGAGAGCGGUCAGUGAGAGACACAGAGCCUACCAGAGUGCACACCUCAGAGAUGAAUGUUUGCUGAACAAAUGAAUCAACCCAGCUGGGGGCAGCUCUGAUCUUUGUGAAGCCAAAGCCGCUCUUCUGCCUCGCUCCCCCACCCCUGGUCUGCCCUCAGAGCACCCACAGAUGCAUCUGCUCCUCUGCCUUAGGCUGGGUUUCUUCUCUUACUGGAGGAGAGCAGCCACAUCUCCCUGAGCUGCUCCUCUGGGACAAAAGUUCCAGGCUCUGACAUCCCACUGAGUUCCCUGCCACAGAACAAGGCAGCCCCGGCCCUGACUUCCAGCAAAGCUCCACAAGGCUGGAAGGAGGCCUUGAUGGAUGUCAGGACGAAGAUCUCAUUACCCUCUGCCUGGAAUUUUUCGGUGCCAUUUGCAUCAUUGCAUCCCCAAUGCCUAGAAUACUAGGUACUAAAAAAUAGCUGUUGAGUUAAAGAAUGGGUGUCAAAAAGAGGGUCCCUUCAGAGAGCUCCUAAACCCACCUAAUUGCUCAAAGACCUCCAUCUCCGAUAUCCAAAGCAGAUGUCCCUCAUCUUUGAUGUCAAAAUCUAAGGACCAGUCAUGUCAUCAACCCCACUUCCUACAGCAGGAAUCACCACCACAAUAAUCUCAUGGUAAAUGAGCCCAAAGGGUUAGGGCUCAUGCUCAGGAGGUGGCCCAUUUCCUUGAUGGAGAGUCCUAGGGGAAGAAACACUUUGCUCCACAUUUUGCUUGCUAUUGGCUUAACUGAAGGAUCAGUAGACAAGACCUCAAUGGUUAAGAUGUGCUUCCUCCUUAAACUGUAUAAUGUACACAUCCAAUGCCCCUCCCUUAUUGUGGAGGGGAGCAUUCAGUCAGUGGAGACCAGGGAAGAUGCAGAGAUGCAGCAAUCUUCACCCUGGAUGGGGCCAGAGAAAGGGCACAAGAAGUCAGGUCCUCAAGAGCUGCCAAGGCAGAAGUCAGGUGAGAGAAUCCAGACUGAGUCAACAUCAGCAAUCAUGGAAGGAGCAGGGCCAAGGCAAGGAAGCAAGAAACCGGGAGGGCCAAAACUGACAAGUGCAGUGGGCAACAGUCUGGAGGAAGCUGCAGUGGAAGGUCUUAGAUUGAUUCCUAGACUGUCCUAGUAUGUGUGGGCUGGGUCUCUUUAGAACACCCUGAGCUGGGGCCAGCCCCGGACCAAGUGGUUAAGUUCGCGUGCUCUGCUUUGGCGGCCCAGGGUUUCGCCAGUUCAGAUUCUGGGCGGGGACAUGGCA